rnacentral:rRNA from 1 species
GACGAACGCUGGCGGCGUGCUUAACACAUGCAAGUCGAACGGUAAGGCCCUUCGGGGUACACGAGUGGCGAACGGGUGAGUAACACGUGGGUGAUCUGCCCUGCACUUCGGGAUAAGCCUGGGAAACUGGGUCUAAUACCGGAUAGGACUCCGGACUGCAUGGUCUGGGGUGGAAAGCUUUUGCGGUGUGGGAUGGGCCCGCGGCCUAUCAGCUUGUUGGUGGGGUGAUGGCCUACCAAGGCGACGACGGGUAGCCGGCCUGAGAGGGUGACCGGCCACACUGGGACUGAGAUACGGCCCAGACUCCUACGGGAGGCAGCAGUGGGGAAUAUCGCACAAUGGGCGCAAGCCUGAUGCAGCGACGCCGCGUGAGGGAUGACGGCCUUCGGGUUGUAAACCUCUUUCAGCUAUGACGAAGCGCAAGUGACGGUAGUAGCAGAGGAAGGACCGGCCAACUACGUGCCAGCCGCCGCUGUAA